rnacentral:rRNA from 1 species
UCAUGGGUCGAUGAAGACCGCAGCAAACUGCGCGUCGCCAUGUGAACUGCAGGACGCAUGAUCAUUGACAUGUUGAACGGAUAUUGCGCCUUAUACAUUUGGUUCUUUCACUGGGACUGUAUAAGGUACAUAUGGUUGAGUGUCGUAAUUUCAUAUAAUUUCAACUACAAGUAUCGUUUAUACGAUGCAAAAUUUAGUGUCAUCAAAGCUACCUCGAUUGUGGGGGGUAAUUUAUGACUAAAAUUCUGUUUUUACAGUUUACGCCAGAAGAAAUUCAGCACCGCAAUGAGUAUGUUGUGUAUGAGGCGCUAACUUUACCUUUAAUGGAUAUUAUGUUAGUUGCCAUUCGCUUUCAUCUAGUUGUGUGAGUGUUGUAUUCUUUGUUAACUGUUGCCCCAAAACAAAAUAAAAAAAAAGAGAUAUACGCGACCUCAA